rnacentral:rRNA from 1 species
AGCGAACACUGGCGGCAGGCCUAACACAUGCAAGUCGAGCGCCCCGCAAGGGGAGCGGCAGACGGGAGAGUAACACGUGGGAACAUGCCCUUCAGUUCGGAACAACCCAGGGAAACUUGGGCUAAUACCGAAUACGUCCGCAAGGAGAAAGAUUUAUCGCUGAAGGAUUGGCCCGCGUCCGAUUAGCUAGUUGGUGGGGUAAUGGCUCACCAAGGCGACGGUCGGUAGCUGGUCUGAGAGUAUGAUCAGCCUCACUGGGACUGAGACACGGCCCAGACUCCUACGGGAGGCAGCAGUGGGGAAUAUUGGACAAUGGGCGCAAGCCUGAUCCAGCCAUGCCGCGUGGGUGAUGAAGGCCCUGGGGUUGUAAAGCCCUUUCGGCGGGGAAGAUAAUGACGGUACCCGCAGAAGAAGCACCGGCUAACUCCGUGCCAGCAGCCGCAGUAACAC